CAGCCACCAGGUCAGACAUGCUGAAUCUUUCCUGUGUAGAAUUGGUACUGAUGUGAGCAAAGGAAAAACCUGGUGGUGACUUGAGCAGCUGGACCCUGGGAUAGCUUCCUUAUGGGAAUCCAGAAGACCCAUCAGGCUUCUCAGAUGACUUCCAGCCAUCAUGUGCUUGCAUUUUUCGGGGCCUACACCUGGGUCCUGCGAUGCAGUUUCAUCUGCUUUGUGGAGGUUGCUGGAGCCACAGGCUAACCAGGACAGCUUGGGGAGUGAUUCGGAAAGUCUCUGGGUUCCCUUCCAACAUGUAAAGUUCUGGUCUUAAGACAGCUGGGAAUUUGUCUGUCAUUUAUGCCAACAGUGAACAAUUAAUUUUCCAGCAGUCCCAGGCCUCAGCCUGUCUGUGUUUUCUUCUCUGAUUUGUGGAUGUCUAAAACAGGGAAAGGUAACAUCCAAAUACGGCCAUUGGGGUGUGAUUCAGGGUCAAUUGAAACAACAGAUAAAAGUGGAGUCACAGUAGCUGUGGCAGAGGCCAGAAUGAUCCUUGGCCAUAGCACAGUUCUGUAUGAAACACUGGGGUUCACUUCCGGGGCCUGUUGAACAUUAGGUAAAUAUCUAACUCUGAGCAACAGUCCAACCCCUGGAGAAAACAGCUUUGUGUUGGCUGAAGCCUUGGAACCCCGCCCCUCCUGGUGUCAGGUACUGGCUGGUAGUUGUAGGGGUCUACUUUCUGCCCAGAUCCUACAGUGAUGAUCUUGGCUGCAUGCAGGCUUUGUGGGAAUGGUUCAUUUCCCAUUCAGUUAGCAAGCUAAGCAGCCUGCUGAUGGCAGGACUAGGGAAAGGGAGGCAGGAAUUUCAGUCUCUGCACACAGCACUGAACACAGUGACUCAUUCUCCCCUGUCAUGAGGCAGUGAGGCAGGAUGAGCCUGGCUUUUGAGGUCCAUGGCCUCCCAGCCUUUGCUCUGUCUCAGAUUCUCAUUCUGCUGGGUUGUACCAUGCGGGGUCUGUGCCUCAGCUCAGGCUUUGGAAACAAAUCCCACAGACCAAGGGUUCAAAUAACAGAAAUUACCCUCCUAUGGUUAUAGAGGCUUCAUGUCCAAACUGAAGAGUUCCUGGCAACACCCUGGUGAGGGCAUUCUUCCUGGCUUGCAGGUGGCCCCUCCUCUGUGUCUCCAUGUAGUGUGAAGGGAGGAGGGACAGUGUCUGUCUCUGAAAAGGGCUCAGAUUGCUAUGUGAAAGCCCCCCCUAGGACUGAUUUGGCCCUAGUUACCUCCCAGAGGUCUCACCUCCUAAUCCCAGCAUCUUGGGGUCUGAGCAUGGAAAUUCAGCAGAUGACACAAACAUUCCACCUAUGAUAUCCAGCAGGGAGGACUACAGCUUUGUGUCACAUGUGAUAUGAUGAGCCACAUGUGACCUCUUGGCACUUGAAAUAUAGCCAGUCUGUACUUCAGUCUGCUAUGGUGUGUAAAGUAUACGCCAAAUCCCACAGGUUUAGAAUAAAAACGAAUGAGCAACAUCUAGUAUGUGAUUGGAAACACUUAAAUUAUCUGCUGAGACAAUACUUGGGAUAUCCUAGGUCAAAUAAAACAUAGUAUUAAGACUAACUUUGCCUGCAUGGUGGCCCAGGCUUUUAAUCCCAGCACUUGGGAGGCAGAGGCAGGAGGAUCUCUGUGAGUUCA